UUUGAUUGCAAACAUUUGCUUUCUUUUAGGAGUUCAAAUUUCUGAGGAAAUGGAAAAUACUAAAGCAUGCAUUGCAAUUACAUUUUUUACCCAUUUUUUCUACCUUGCUAUGUUCUUUUGGAUGCUGGGUUCAGCUCUCCUCCUGCUUUACAGAACAUUUGCAGUAGGUGAUGAUUUUAGUUUGGGUGUAUGGAUUGGUUUUAAAUGCACUCUUGGUUAUGGGGGACCGCUCAUCAUUGCAGCUAUAACAUAUGCAGUAACUGCUCCUAAAGAAGAAUAUGUGCGAGGACACAAUAUCUGCUGGCUCAACUGGGAAGAAUCUAAAGCUCUACUUGCAUUUGUAAUUCCUGUAAUAGUGAUAGUGUUUAUUAAUCUGAUUAUCCUAACAGUGGUAUUAUAUAAAAUGUUUAAAAGAAGAAAGACAAAUAGCACCAACAUGGUAGACUCAAACUCGGCAGUUGUUUUUACAAAAGCUGUGACUGUCCUAACAUCACUAUUUGGAAUAAAUUGGAUUGUAGGAAUUGGCACCAUAGUUUUCCCAACCAACAAAGGCAUUCACAUCGCAUCGACAUUACUCUUCUCUCUACAGGGAAUUUUACUUUUGAUAUUUGGUUUAUUACUGGAUAAAAAGGUGCGCCAAACAUUGGUAGAAUGUUGGAAAGGCGUAAGAUUGAUUUUCUUAUUUAGUCUGUUAGCUCAUAAUUUUGUUGUGGUUUUUAUUUUUGUUUUGUUUUUGCCCUAUAGAGAAUAUGUAGAGCACGUGAAGAGGACUCACCCAAAUUUGAGAUGGAUUUGAGUCAAAGAGGUAUGUCAACGUUGGAAGUCACUUUCUAGAAUUUAGCUAGUGAUAAAAUGACAAAAUCUAGUGAGAAAAUUGCUUUAUUAAGAACUGAAUUAAUU